rnacentral:rRNA from 1 species
AACGAACGCUGGCGGCAUGCCUAACACAUGCAAGUCGAACGAAGCCUUCGGGCUUAGUGGCGCACGGGUGCGUAACGCGUGUGAAUCUACCCUUGGGUUCGGAAUAACAGUUAGAAAUGACUGCUAAUACCGGAUGAUGACGUAAGUCCAAAGAUUUAUCGCCCAAGGAAGAGCCCGCGUAAGAUUAGCUUUUUGGUGGGGUAAUGGCCUACAAAGGCGACGAUCCUUAGCUGGUCAUGGAGGCUGAUCAGCCACACUGGGACGGAGACACGGCCCAGACUCCUACGGGAGGCAGCAAUGGGGAAUAUUGGAAAAUGGGCGAAAGCCUGAUCCAGCAAUGCCGCGUGAGUUAUGAAGGCCUUAGGGUUGUAAAGCUCUUUUACCAGGGAUGAUAAUGACAGUACCUGGAGAAUAAGCUCCGGCUAACUCCGUGCCAGCAGCCGCCGUAA